rnacentral:lncRNA from 10 species
CUCAAGACAGGCAGGACUUGAGGGUGCGAGAUCCCAGAGGGAAGAGGAAGCGCUGAGAUGAGUCCUCACUCACGGAUGCUUUUUUCCCACUGGGGAAUAUGCCAAUUUACAGCACAGGGCACAGAGUUGACAGGAAAAAUGGGAGAACCUAGAAAAGUCUCAGUGGGCUGAGAAGACAAAAAGUAAAGUGUUGUACGGCCAGAAAAUGAAGGGCCAAGCUUCUAGUGUAAAGGGAACCCCUAGAGAAGGGAGCCUGAUAUUCUGCACCCAAUUCCCCCUGGGGCAUUUGUUAAUGCUGAGCUUCCCAGACACAGGGCAAGAGGAAGAGGAACCAAGAGGAAAGCAGCUGCUAAGAGGCUUAAAAGCUAAGCAGGGAUUUUGGCAGGCUCCCAGCCCUGGGGACACAAAAAUGGAAGUUCAGAGCCCGCUGAGAAGGAGGGGCCCUGUAGAAUAUUAGACAACAAUGAAAAAGAAUGGAUUGCUGCUACAUAAAACAACGUGGAUGAAUCUUGCAGAAAUCAUGUGGAAAUAGAGAAGCCAGAUGCCAAAGACAAAGGAGUAGAGAAUGCAUCAUUUCAUUCACAUAACGUUUUGAAACAGGCAAAACUUAUCUAUGAGGAUAGAAGUCAGAACAGUCGUCCUUUAGCAAGGUAGUGACUACAAUGAGCAUGAAGCAGGCUUCUGUUGGCUCAACAAGGAGAAAUGCAAUGACAUUAAAUGUUGUUAGCACCAGAAUGGGUGGAGCUCUUGUUAAGGACAUCAGAAAAUUAUCCCACCUAUUCAGGGUUGAAGGAGAGAGGUGAUGAAGAAUAUAGAAAGCAGAAGAAACUCAUGAUGAAGGAUGCACCAUAUCACAGCUGUUGAUACAAACACAGAAACCUCAGUGAUGGUCUCAUCCUCAUUAAAGUUUUGGAGGAAAACAUGGUAUUGCCUAAGGAUCUGUGAUUCUUUGGUCCUGAGAAGAGAAAGCCAGGGGUUCAUGUAAUAGCGUAUGGGAAAUGUGAGUGAGUACAUUUAUCAAAGACAAUUACAACAUAUGAUUAGCUCUACAGAAGGGAAGAAAUG